CCAGGAUUUCCCAGAUCGGGGAUCGAGCCCGUGUCUCCUACAUUGGCAGGCAGGUUCUUCACCGCUGAGCCACCAGCGAGACCCGUGCCUCACACGUUUUAAAGGUAGACCGUGCCAAACACAGUGCUGUAUUUUGAAGGGGAAUCUGAUCUGUAAAACGAAGGCAAGACACGACUGGGGAAGGACUUCAUCGGACACCACUGGGAUCCCAAGACACGAGAAGGGCAUCUGGCUGUAACAGGCUUAGUUCAAGAGAGAUCAUCACUAAGAUCCCAGGAGUCCUGGAUGCAAGAUUCAGAUUUUCCGCUGCCUAUCCGAGUGGCAUUCGUCAUUUCAGGUUAACCUCUCUGGCCUGUGGCUCCUCUUCUCUAAAACAAAGAAGCCAAUUUGCUUUCACUUCUGUAAAACGUUCCACUGUGUGAGGAAUCCUCAGCUCACCCGUUCCUCUAGAAGGAAAGAUGGAAGGAAAAGAAGCAAGAAGCCAGUGAAAUUGAUUUUAGCAAUAUGUUUAAACAC